rnacentral:rRNA from 1 species
AAUGAACGCUGGCGGCAUGCCUAACACAUGCAAGUCGAACGAAGGCUUCGGCCUUAGUGGCGCACGGGUGCGUAACGCGUGGGAAUCUGCCCUCAGGUUCGGAAUAACAGCGAGAAAUUGCUGCUAAUACCGGAUGAUAUCGCGAGAUCAAAGAUUUAUCGCCUGAGGAUGAGCCCGCGUAGGAUUAGCUAGUUGGUGUGGUAAAGGCGCACCAAGGCGGCGAUCCUUAGCUGGUCUGAGAGGAUGAUCAGCCACACUGGGACUGAGACACGGCCCAGACUCCUACGGGAGGCAGCAGUGGGGAAUAUUGGACAAUGGGCGAAAGCCUGAUCCAGCAAUGCCGCGUGAGUGAUGAGGGCCUUAGGGUUGUAAAGCUCUUUUACCCGGGAUGAUAAUGACAGUACCGGGAGAAUAAGCUCCGGCUAACUCCGUGCCAGCCGCCGCGGUAA